ACUUCCUAUAUGGCUCAGUUGGUUAGAGCAUGGUGCUGAUAAUGCCAAGACUGCAGGUUCGAUCCCCGUAGGGAACA